GAUGAACGCUGGCGGCGUGCCUAAUACAUGCAAGUCGAGCGAACAGAUGAGGAGCUUGCUCCUCUGACGUUAGCGGCGGACGGGUGAGUAACACGUGGAUAACCUACCUAUAAGACUGGGAUAUCUUCGGGAAACCGGAGCUAAUACCGGAUAAUAUAUUGAACCGCAUGGUUCAAUAGUGAAAGACGGUUUUGCUGUCACUUAUAGAUGGAUCCGCGCUGCAUUAGCUAGUUGGUAAGGUAACGGCUUACCAAGGCAACGAUGCGUAGCCGACCUGAGAGGGUGAUCGGCCACAGUGGAGCUGACACGCGAUCCAGGCACCUACGGGAGGCAGAAGUAGGGAAGGUUCCGAAAUGGGCGGAAGACUGACGGAGGAGCGCCGCGUGGGUGAAGAAGGGCUUCGGAUCGUAAAACGCUGUUAUUAGGGAAGAACAAAUGUGUAAGUAACUAUGCGCGUGUUGACGGUACCUAAUCAGAAAGCCACGGCUAACUACGU
rnacentral:rRNA from 1 species